rnacentral:rRNA from 1 species
GAUGAACGCUAGCUACAGGCCUAACACAUGCAAGUCGAGGGGCAGCAUGGGAGAAGCUUGCUUUUCCCGAUGGCGACCGGCGAAUGGGUGAGUCACGCGUGUCCAACCUGCCCCCCGCCCGGGGAUAGCCCUUGGAAAUGAGGAUUAAGACCCGAUAGGUGGCGCUUCCGCAUGGCGGCGCCCAUGAAACGAGGCGAGGGAUGGGGACGCGUCGGAUUAGCUUGACGGCGGGGCAACGGCCCACCGUGGCGACGAUCCGCAGGGGUUCUGAGAGGAAGGUCCCCCACACUGGCACUGAGACACGGGCCAGACUCC